ensembl:lncRNA
GUCCUCCAAUGGGGGUCCCACCCUGAUUUGGUGGGGGUCCCAGCACUGAGUGUGGAUAUGGGGGGGCCCAAUGGGCGGUCAUGGUGCCACCAAUGGGGGGAGAACCCAAUUAACAUCAGUGUUAAUUGGAUGGGGGGAUAACGAACCGCGGUCGGAGAGCAGAGCUACGGUGGCCGCCAUGGUUGGGAUGGGAGGUGCUCCAUUGGGGGUCUCAGUGGGGACAUGGGGGGGAUAUGGGGGGGACAUUGGGGGGGGGGCCCAAUGGGUCAUCAUGGUGCCACCAAUGGGGGGAGGGACUCAUUAACACCACCCCUAAUUGGAUGGGGGGAUAACGAACCGCGGUCGGAGAGCAGAGCUAUGGUGGCCACCAUGGUUGGGAUGGGAGGUGCUGCAAUGGGGGUCCCAGCCUUGAUUUGGGGGGGGGUCCCAUCACUGAGUAUGGAUAUGGGGGGGCCAAUGGGUCAUCAUGGUGCCACCAAUGGGGGGAGGACCCAAUUAACGUCAGUGUUAAUUGGAUGGGGGGAUAACGAACCCACAUUGAGGAGCACAGCUAUGGUGGCCACCAUGGUUGGGAUGGGAGGUCCUCCAAUGGGGGUCCCAGCAUUGAUUUGGGGGGGGGUCCCAUCACUGAGUGUGGAUAUGGGGGGGCCCAAUGGGUCAUCAUGGUGCCACCAAUAGUGAAAGGACCUCAUUAACACCACCGCUAAUUGUAUGCCGGGAUAACGAACCGCGUUCGGAGAGCAGAGCUACGGUGGCCACCAUGGAUGGGGAGUGGAGGUCCUCCAAUGGGGGUCUCAGCAUUGAUUUGGGGGGGGGUCCCAGCAGUGAGUGUGGAUAUGGGGGGGCCCAAUGGGUCAUCAUGGUGCCACCAAUGGUGGGAGGGACUCAUUAACACCACCGCUAAUUGGAUGCCGGGAUAACGAACCGCGGUCGGAGAGCAGAGCUAUGGUGGCCACCAUGGUUGGGAUGGGAGGUGCUGCAAUGGGGGUCCCAGCAUUGAUUUGGGGGGGGGUCCCAUCACUGAGUGUGGAUAUGGGGGGGCCCAAUGGGCGGUCAUGGUGCCACCAAUGGGGGGAGAACCCAAUUAACGUCAGUGUUAAUUGGAUGGGGGGAUAACGAACCGCGGUCGGAGCGCAGCGCUAUGGUGGCCACCAUGGAUGGGGACUGGAGGUCCUCCAAUGGGGGUCCCAGCCUUGAUUUGGGGGGGGGUCCCAGCACUGAGUGUGGAUAUGGGGGGGCCCAAUGUGUCAUCAUGGUGCCACCAAUGGUGGGAGGGACUCAUUAACACCACCCCUAAUUGGAUGGGGGGAUAACGAACCGCGGUCGGAGCGCAGCGCUAUGGUGGCCACCAUGGAUGGGGACUGGAGAUCCUCCAAUGGGGGUCCCAGUCUUGAUUUGGGGGGGGGUCCCAGCACUGAGUGGGGCCAUUGGGAGGGGGGGGGGCGCAAUGGGUCAUCAUGGUGCCACCAAUGGGGGGAGGGACUCAUUAACACCACCCCUAAUUGGAUGCCGGGAUAACGAACCGUGGUUGGAGAGCAGAGCUAUGGUGGCCAGCAUGGAUGGGGAGUGGAGGUCCUCCAAUGGGGGUCCCAGCAUUGAUUUGGGGGGGGGUCCCAGCACUGAGUGUGGAUAUGGGGGGGCCCAAUGUGUCAUCAUGGUGCCACCAAUGGUGGGAGG